GACGAACGCUGGCGGCGUGCUUAACACAUGCAAGUCGAACGGAAAGGCCCUGCUUUUGUGGGGUGCUCGAGUGGCGAACGGGUGAGUAACACGUGAGUAACCUGCCCUUGACUUUGGGAUAACUUCAGGAAACUGGGGCUAAUACCGGAUAGGAGCUCCUGCUGCAUGGUGGGGGUUGGAAAGUUUCGGCGGUUGGUGAUGGACUCGCGGCUUAUCAGCUUGUUGGUGGGGUAGUGGCUUACCAAGGCUUUGACGGGUAGCCGGCCUGAGAGGGUGACCGGCCACAUUGGGACUGAGAUACGGCCCAGACUCCUAUGGGAGGCAGCAGUGGGGAAUAUUGCACAAUGGGCGGAAGCCUGAUGCAGCAACGCCGCGUGCGGGAUGACGGCCUUCGGGUUGUAAACCGCUUUCGCCUGUGACGAAGCGUGAGUGACGGUAAUGGGUAAAGAAGCACCGGCUAACUACGUG
rnacentral:rRNA from 1 species